UACGUAGGGGGCAAGCGUUGUCCGGAUUUAUUGGGCGUAAAGAGCUCGUAGGCGGCUUGGCAAGUCGGGUGUGAAAACUCCAGGCUCAACCUGGAGAUGCCACUCGAGACUGCUAUGGCUAGGAGUCCGGUAGGGGACCACGGAAUUCCUGGUGUAGCGGCGAAAUGCGCAGAUAGUCAGGAGGAACACCGGUGGCGAAGGCGGCUCUCUGGUACGUGACUGACGCUGAGACGCGAAAGCGUGGGGAGCAAACAGG
rnacentral:rRNA from 1 species